CAUGCAAGUCGAACGGUAACAGGAAUUAGCUUGCUAAUUUGCUGACGAGUGGCGCACGGGUGCGUAACGCGUAUACAAUCUACCUUUUGCUGAGGGAUAGCCCAGAGAAAUUUGGAUUAAUACCUCAUAGUAUUAUUGAUAGGCAUCUAUUAAUAAUUAAAGGUUACGGCAAAAGAUGAGUAUGCGUCCCAUUAGCUAGUUGGCGAGGUAACGGCUCACCAAGGCAACGAUGGGUAGGGGUCCUGAGAGGGAGAUCCCCCACACUGGUACUGAGACACGGACCAGACUCCUACGGGAGGCAGCAGUGAGGAAUAUUGGACAAUGGGCGAGAGCCUGAUCCAGCCAUGCCGCGUGCAGGAAGACUGCCCUAUGGGUUGUAAACUGCUUUUAUACAGGAAGAAUAAGCCUUACGUGUAAGGUGAUGACGGUACUGUAAGAAUAAGGACCGGCUAACUCCGUGCCAGCAGCCGCGGUAAUACGGAGGGUCCGAGCGUUAUCCGGAAUUAUUGGGUUUAAAGGGUCCGUAGGCGGAUGAUUAAGUCAGGGGUGAAAGUUUGCAGCUCAACUGUAAAAUUGCCUUUGAUACUGGUUAUCUUGAGUUGUAUUGAAGUAGGCGGAAUAUGUAGUGUAGCGGUGAAAUGCAUAGAUAUUACAUAGAACACCAAUUGCGAAGGCAGCUUACUAAGUACUAACUGACGCUGAUGGACGAAGGCGUGGGUAGCGAACAGGAUUAGAUACCCUGGUAGUCCACGCCGUAAACGAUGGAUACUAGCUGUUCGGG
rnacentral:rRNA from 1 species